rnacentral:rRNA from 1 species
UACGUAGGGUGCAAGCGUUGUCCGGAAUUAUUGGGCGUAAAGAGCUCGUAGGCGGUCUGUCGCGUCGGCUGUGAAAACCCGGGGCUCAACCCCGGGCCUGCAGUCGAUACGGGCAGACUAGAGUGCGGUAGGGGAGACUGGAAUUCCUGGUGUAGCGGUGAAAUGCGCAGAUAUCAGGAGGAACACCGGUGGCGAAGGCGGGUCUCUGGGCCUUACCUGACGCUGAGGAGCGAAAGCGUGGGGAGCGAACAGG